UUAGAGGAAUGAUGUAUUACUACCGGGCCCUCAAGAUGCUGGCUUUCCUGGACUCUGCGUCAGAAAUGGAUAUUCGAG